UCACGGGUCUCUUUUUUUCGUGGGACCUCCUUGUAGGUCACCCGACCAGCCAUGUGUCCCUCUGGCGAGCGGCAUUGGCGGCACCACUGGCCAGUCAAGGCGGAGUGCCAUCAACCAACCACAUGUGCUGGAAGACACGUGGGUGCCAACAAAGAUGUUUGUGAGCGUCCAUCCCGUGGGUGAAUGCGGCGCUAGCUUGCCUGGUGACCUGCCAUGCAUGGCCUCGUCACUGGUGUUGAUCAGGUCCUGAGGAAAUCCUUGGAGGUGGUGCCCUGGUGAAGCCCGUUGAUGGCGACUCAAAUGUAUGCUGACCAACGAUAACAGUUGGGCCUUGCUUGGCUAUAAACCCCGAAGUGCGUUGCCCUCUGACCGCCCAAACGGCAUUCUGCAAGGGUGGUGUGCCGACGCCGUUCAGUGGGAUGUCGUCUUCCUCCAGCAGCUCCACUCUGCAAGUUGAGGGUCCUUGGGAGCGGUGCCUGGUGCAACUCCUUAUUGAAACACGGCGUGCUGCACCGGGCCACACUUAUACCGACCAACACCAAGAAGUGACUGAGCUGGUGUGACUGGGCCUCGCAUGGCGAUAGCCCCCAAGUGCGUUACUCGUUGUGCUGAACACCCAAAUGCUGCCAUCUUACACGAGCUGAAGAUAAGAAUCCUCCGUUGCCGUGACUGCUCAAUGGCGGGGAUGGUCUUCUAGGAGGGCCCAACUCUGGUCCUUGGGAGCGGUGCCUGGUGCAACUAAUUAUUGAAACACGGCAGUGCUGCACCGGGCCACACUUGUACUGACCUACACCAAGAAGUGACCGAGCUGGUGUGGAUGGGCCUCGCAUGGCGAUAGCCCCCAAGUUCAUGCGGGGACUGCUCAUUGGAACAUGGAUUUCGAGAACUUGGACUCUGUUGAAGGAGGAGAGAGAGGGCCCUGUUACCGAAGUAGCCAAGAGGCUGACACGAGACUGGAGCGCCCCCCGUCAUGUUGUACAGCAAAGGGAAACGACGCUGGCCUUCGGCGCGUGCAAACGGCGCAGCUCGGCAGCCGUUUCUAAUAUUUUGUCGUUAAAGCCGCGUUUUUUCUUUGAAUUUUCGCAUUUGCUGUUACACUCAAGAAUGGCUUGACUUGCAAAGUUGAUAAUAAAAAAUCUGAGCAUCA